rnacentral:rRNA from 1 species
GAUGAACGCUGGCGGCGUGCCUAAUACAUGCAAGUCGAGCGAACGGACGAGAAGCUUGCUUUUCUGGUGUUAGCGGCGGACGGGUGAGUAACACGUGGAUAACCUACCUAUAAGACUGGGAUAACUUCGGGAAACCGGAGCUAAUACCGGAUAAUAUUUUGAACCGCAUGGUUCAAAAGUGAAAGACGGUCUUGCUGUCACUUAUAGAUGGAUCCGCGCUGCAUUAGCUAGUUGGUAAGGUAACGGCUUACCAAGGCAACGAUGCAUAGCCGACCUGAGAGGGUGAUGGCCACAGCGGAACUUGAACCCGGUCCCAGACCCUAAGGGGGGCAGGAGGUGGGAAAUCUCCCGAAAGGGGGGAAGCCCUGACGAACAACCCCGCGGGGGGUAUUAAGGUCUUCGGAUCCGAAAACCUUUUUAAUUAGGAAAAACAAAAUGUGAAGGUACCGUUCACCUCCUGACGGUAACCAAACAGAAAGGCACGGCUAACUACGUU